CGUGGCGGACGGGUGAGUAAUGUCUGUGAAACUGCCCGAUGGAGGGGGAUAACUACUGUAAACGGUAGCUAAUACCGCAUACCAUCGGAUGUGCCCAGAUGGGCUUAGCUAGUAGGUGGGGUAAUGGCUCACCUAGGCGACGAUCCCUAGCUGGUCUGAGAGGAUGACCAGCCACACUGGAACUGAGACACGGUCCAGACUCCUACGGGAGGCAGCAGUGGGGAAUAGUGCACAAUGGGCGCAAGCCUGAUGCAGCCAUGCCACGUGUAUGAAGAAGGCCUUCGGGUUGUAAAGUACUUUCGGCGAGGAGGCGUUACUCGCAGAAGAAGCACCGGCUAACUACGUGCCAGCAGCCGCGGUAAUUC
rnacentral:rRNA from 1 species